rnacentral:rRNA from 1 species
CAUGCAGGCGGUCGUACGCGUUUUGUGUGACAGCGGGUGGCUUAACUACCCGAGUAUGCGAAAGACGGUAUGACUUGAGGGCUCGAGAGGGACACGGAAUUCCGGGUGGAGUGGUGAAAUGCGUAGAGAUCCGGAGGAACACCGAAGGCGAAGGCAGUGUCCUGGCGAGUGACUGACGCUGAGGUGCGAAAGCUAGGGGAGCGAACGGGAUUAGAUACCCCGGUAGUCCUAGCCGUAAACGAUGGCCACCAGGUGUGGGAGGUAUCGACCCCUUCCGUGCCGGAGUUAACACACUAAGUGGUCCGCCUGGGGAGUACGGUCGCAAGAUUAAA